rnacentral:tRNA from 1 species
UACUAGAUGGCUGAGUGUAAGCAGCAGAUUGUAGGUCUGUUAACGGAGUUUGUAUCUCCUCAGUAAA